rnacentral:tRNA from 1 species
GCAGUGGUGGCUUAGUGGUAGAAUCCUUGUCUUCCAUACAGGGGAUCUGGGUUUUGGUUCCCAGCCAAUGCA